UACAGAGGGUGCGAGCGUUAAUCGGAUUUACUGGGCGUAAAGCGUGCGUAGGUGGUCUUUUAAGUCGGAUGUGAAAUCCCUGAGCUUAACUUAGGAAUUGCAUUCGAUACUGGGAGACUAGAGUAUGGGAGAGGAUGGUAGAAUUCCAGGUGUAGCGGUGAAAUGCGUAGAGAUCUGGAGGAAUACCGAUGGCGAAGGCAGCCAUCUGGCCUAAUACUGACACUGAGGUACGAAAGCAUGGGGAGCAAACAGG
rnacentral:rRNA from 1 species